UAGCUCAGGUUUCUCUUCAUUGACGCAUAAAUCUUUUGUCUUUUAUUAAAGACGUCUGUGGAGAGAAAUGUUUAUGAGAGAGAUAUUUCAGUGAAGCUGGCUUCUAAAGCUUC